CAGGAGGAAGACUUUUCAAAUCUGUAAUUGCGAUUCUCACACUCUCACUUAAACGUGUCUUUUUCCAGCCGCGAACACUCGCUACCAAAUUUGUGGCUUGCGCUCUCAAUUCCUCCUCGGACCAUUUUGGCAUUUGCUUGACAAUGCCUUUCCAAUCAAUGGCAUUUAUGGAGAUUGCUUCUCCGCAUUGCCUUUGUACAUGUUCUAGUAGUUUUAAACUAUCCGCGACGUAAAAUUUGCGUUUACCCUUUGAUUUCUUCUUUUUUCUCUUCUUCCUUUUCUUCCCUUGAUCCUCCUCUUGACGUUGGUUAGAAGAAUAAGAUGCGAUUGUUUUUUCGUACUGUUUUCGACAGCUUUCCGGCGACUUAGUCCCAAGCUUCUUCGAUAUGCUAUGCCAUGCAAUGGAAUCAGAUGCCGGUAUUUCCCGUUGUAUGUUUGAAGUAGUGUGAUUAUUGUGUGUGAAAAGGCUUGUCAUUUUUUUUGUGUGAAAAGACGACCGGUAAGAAGACUUUACCAAGUCUAAUAGCUUUGCUUCCUCUUCAUUCGUCCAUAAUUUGCGCCGAUCAAUUGUUUCCUGAGUACUAGUACCUACAACAAACCUCCAUUGACUCAUGCACGCGGCAGGUGACGUUCCCAGUUUGUUCGCUAUGCUGUUCCACCGCGUUCCCUCUUGUUCAACUAGGGUGUACAGCUUUUUUAGCUCACUUUCCUCCCAUGCAUUCCUAUCUUUCGGAUCCAACGGCUUGUAGAUUUCCUUCAAAUAACGAAUAAUUCCUUUUCUUG
rnacentral:misc_RNA from 1 species